ACGGACCGUGCCGGGAAGAGCAGGCGGGUGAAAAUGAAAGCCGGCUGUAGCAUCGUGGAAAAGCCAGAAGGAGGUGGAGGGUAUCAGUUUCCUGACUGGGCCUACAAAACAGAGUCGUCCCCAGGCUCCCGGCAGAUCCAGCUGUGGCACUUCAUCCUGGAGCUGCUGCAGAAGGAAGAGUUCCGCCAUGUCAUCGCCUGGCAGCAGGGAGAGUACGGGGAAUUUGUCAUCAAGGAUCCAGAUGAGGUGGCCCGCCUCUGGGGCCGCAGGAAAUGCAAACCACAGAUGAAUUAUGACAAGCUGAGCCGGGCCCUCAGGUAAGGGAAAGGAUUCCCAAAUCUGUGUUAACAGAUUGGAAGGAGACUAAGCUGUUUGGUGAAUGCUAGAUAAAAAGGGUAUCAGGUAAUAAAAGACUACACUAUCUUAGUGAAUAAUGUGUCACUUUAAAGUGGGAGUAGAAGAGCUGUUGAAUGUGAGUAGCAUAGGCACAGGAGGAGAAAAGGCAUAUCUUUGGUUAUACGUAGGAGGGGAUUCCAAUGUGGCUGGCACUGGAUCCUGACAGACAGCUGAUUCUGCUCUAUAGUGGGCGAGAGUAUAUGGUGAAACAUGGAUUGGAGUUCAUUUAUAAUCCAAAGGAUUAGUUUAGACUUCUCUAUUAGAAUCUGUUAAAAUUUCUUUCUUUGGGCUCCCCUGGAA
rnacentral:sRNA from 1 species